rnacentral:piRNA from 1 species
UAAUCUGUUAAAGGUCACUUAUAAAAUUAUA